rnacentral:misc_RNA from 1 species
GAUGUGAUCACUGUCAACCAUGGGAUACUAACAUACAAGUUGCGGGUUCUAGAGUUGAAACCUUCGUCUAGCGUCUCUGUCCUGGAAACAGAUAUUGAGGUUGAUGUAGUAGGUUCAGAUUCAGCUUCAGAGAGCACAAAUCAACAUAUCCUGAAGCCACUUACUUUAGGAAUGUCACUGUCAGGAAUGGUUGAAGAAGGGAACUAUGAUUAUUAUAAAUUUUCUAUUGAUGAUGAUACUUGGGAAAAAAUUGCUUCUGGGGAUUUCAGAGUUGAAGUAAAGAUAGAUUUUGAAACUGGUGGUGGUGAUACUGAUCUUUACAUGUCCAAACAUCCUCUCAUAUUUCCAACUCGACAUCAACAUGAAUGGUCUUCUCAUGAUGUGGGUUCAAAGAUUUUGAUCCUCAACUCUAAUGAUAAGAUCUUGGGAGUGGGUACUUACAGCAUUGGUGUAUAUGGUUUCAAGGCAACAACAAAAUACAAGCUAUUGGUUAGCGUUGAAGGUAAUAAUAAUUUUAAGAUAGGUCAACAAACUGGAUCUUCCUCAUCUGUGGAGAUUGAUACUGUAGAGUGUAGGAAUUGCAAGCAUUUUAUACCCUCUAGAAGUAUAGCACUGCAUGAAGCAUAUUGUAGCAGACAUAAUGUUGUUUGUCAGCAUGCUGGUUGUGGAAUUGUGCUGAGGAUUGAGGAGGCCCAAAACCACGUGCAUUGUGAGAAAUGUGGGCAAGCUUCUCAUAGGGGAGAAAUAGAGAAGCACAUGAAAGUUUUCCAUGAACCACUGCAGUGUCCCUGUGGAGUAGUCCUUGAGAAGGAACUGAUGGUACAACACCAGGCUUCAGCUUGUCCCCUACGCCUCAUUACAUGCCGAUUUUGCGGCGAUAUGGUUCAAGCUGGGAGUUCAGCUAUGGAUGUGAGGGAC